rnacentral:other from 1 species
UAUUUCCUGGGGUGUUCGAUAACCCGCUAUUUUGAACCUACAUUUUGUUUUACGGGAUUCCAAGAUUUUGGAGUGGAUGUCAGGCCAUCAUUACGCAGUGGAAGGCAGAAGCGCCAUUGAGGUUACCCACCUAGCUUUGCUAGGCGUCAAAAUUGCGGGACCGGCAUUUUGGGAAUACU